rnacentral:rRNA from 1 species
UUAAGUGAAUAAGGGCGCACGGAGGAUGCCUUGGCACUAGGAGUCGAAGAAGGACGCGACAAACGGCGAAACGCCUCGGGGAGCUGUAAGUGAGCAUUGAUCCGGGGGUAUCCGAAUGGGGAAACCCGCUAGUGGUUAUACGCUAGCACCAUAUGGUGAAUACAUAGCCAUAUAGGAGACAGACCCAGGGAACUGAAACAUCUAAGUACCUGGAGGAAAAGAAAGAAAAAUCGAUUCCCGUAGUAGCGGCGAGCGAAGUGGGAAGAGCCCAAACCGGAUUUAUCCGGGGUUGUAGGACCUUCAUAAUUGACAAAUCAUGAUAGCCGAAUGGUCUGGGAAGGCCAACCGUAGGGGGUGAGAGUCCCGUAGGUGAAAUUGUGAGAUGCAUGGAAGGAAUCCUGAGUACGGCGGGACACGUGGAAUCCCGUCGGAAUCAACGAGGACCAUCUCGUAAGGCUAAAUACUACCUAGUGACCGAUAGUGAACCAGUACCGUGAGGGAAAGGUGAAAAGAACCCCGGAAGGGGAGUGAAAGAGAACCUGAAACCGUGUGCCUACAAAUAGUCAGAGCCCGUUAAUGGGUGAUGGCGUGCCUUUUGUAGAAUGAACCGGCGAGUUACGAUAUCGUGCGAGGUUAAGCAGAAGAUGCGGAGCCGUAGCGAAAGCGAGUCUGAAUAGGGCGAAGAGUACGAUGUUGUAGACCCGAAACCGUGUGAGCUAGCCAUGAGCAGGCUGAAGGUCAGGUAACACUGACUGGAGGGCCGAACCAGGGCACGUUGAAAAGUGCUUGGAUGACUUGUGGCUAGGGGUGAAAUUCCAAUCGAACACGGAUAUAGCUGGUUCUCUCCGAAAUAGCUUUAGGGCUAGCCUCGAUGUUAAGUCUACUGGAGGUAGAGCACUGAAUGGGUGAUGGCCCCACCUCGGGGUACUGAUCUCAAUCAAACUCCGAAUGCCAGAUAGAUAUAAUCGGGAGUCAGACUGUGGGUGAUAAGGUCCAUGGUCAAAAGGGAAAGAGCCCAGACCGCCAGCUAAGGCCCCCAAGUGUCCGUUAAGUGGAAAAGGAUGUGGAGAUGCACAGACAACUAGGAGGUUGGCUUAGAAGCAGCCAUCCUUUAAAGAGUGCGUAAUAGCUCACUAGUCGAGUGACUCUGCGCCGAAAAUGUACCGGGGCUAAACGGACCGCCGAAGCUGCGGAUUGACUUUAGAGUCAGUGGUAGGAGAGCGUUCUAACAGCGGUGAAGCAGUACCGGAAGGAGCUGUGGAGCGGUUAGAAGUGAGAAUGCCGGUGUGAGUAGCGAAAGAUAGGUGAGAAUCCUAUCCAUCGAAAGCCUAAGGUUUCCAGGGGAAGGCUCGUCCGCCCUGGGUAAGUCGGGACCUAAGGUGAGGCCGAAAGGCGUAGCCGAUGGACAACAGGUUGAUAUUCCUGUACCACUUAUUAAACUGAUGGAGUGACGGAGAAGGCUAAGUUGAGCGUGUGAUUGGAUUCACGUGUAAGCAGUGAGGUGGUCAUGUAGGCAAAUCCGCAUGGCAUAACAUUGAGCUGUGAUGCCGAAGCCGAAUGGCGAAGUCAACUGACGUCACGCUUCCAAGAAAAGCUUCUAGGGUUAAUUUAAUAAGUGCCCGUACCGAUAACCGACACAGGUAGGCGAGGAGAGAAUCCUAAGAUGAGCGAGAGAACUCUUGUUAAGGAACUCGGCAAAAUGACCCCGUAACUUCGGGAGAAGGGGUGCUUGUGAAAGCAAGCCGCAGUGAAUAGGCCCAGGCGACUGUUUAUCAAAAACACAGGUCUCUGCUAAACCGCAAGGUGAUGUAUAGGGGCUGACGCCUGCCCGGUGCUGGAAGGUUAAGAGGAGAGGUUAGCGCAAGCGAAGCUUUGAAUUGAAGCCCCAGUAAACGGCGGCCGUAACUAUAACGGUCCUAAGGUAGCGAAAUUCCUUGUCGGGUAAGUUCC